GUCAGGCUGGGUUUCAGUUCACAGUUCAGAUUGCUGUGUCAUGGUGACAUGCAAACGUUUUAAAUUGCAUGUAAAUGUCUUUACUCUGGCAAGUGAUAGACAUUUGGACCUUGUGUUGCCAUCAAUGGGCUGAAAUGGGGUAUAACUGCAUCCACAGUCAGUCUGAUAUUCUUCCCAACACUUGGGGAUGGCUGUGUGCAGACACUGGGAGAGUAGAGGCCUGCUGGCUGCUUCAUCCAUGAUAUCACUGAUCCCAUCUGUGACUUCAGAUUGAAGAUCCCAGGAGGUACAGAAGAGUGGGAAAUGAAUCCCAUUGCACUUGAUGCCUUCUGUAGUGGUUUUCCAACGUAUGAGACUACCCCCAAGCCCAUGAAUAGAGCACACUGCAACCAUCAGCCAUAGGAG
rnacentral:lncRNA from 1 species